UCAUGGCUUCUUCUCUAAUCUUUCAUCACUUUCUCCCAAUUUUACCCCCAAUUCAGUGUGUCGCCCACAAUGAAAUCUUCAGCCAGGCGAACGAACAAGAAUGCAACCAUUCAUCAAUGAAAUUUUUAUUACAAGGUGCUCGCUCCUCCUUCAUUCUCUCUCUUUCUCUCAAAUCCCCUAAUGGAGUUCUGGUUCAGUGGAGUUCAAGAGACGCCGACGGUAGCGCAUCCGGUGCUGGAUUUGUUUCUACGGCUAACAACGAACAGUAGCGGAGUGGGGUUCCAGUUAGUCGUACAGUCGGAACACUACUAACCCUAAUUUCAAUUGGCUCUUGGCGAUGACAGUGGUUGUGGUGAUCUCUACAUCCCAUCACAGGGAGGUAAUUCGUGUAGAAUUCUGAAUUGUAUUCUAGCAGUCAAAUCCUACAAUGAGUCGAAACAAACAGGUUGAAGUUGAGGAGGAUCCAAGAGAUUUUGAUAUAAAUACUUCUAAGCGGUUUCAGCCUAUUCGGUCAAGGAAGUAGGGGAGAUUUGAAAAGGGAUUGGGAAUGGUGGAGGCUGUUGUAUUAUGGAUUCAAUAAAGGAUAGGAGUUAUUGAUUAAGGGGCAUUUUGGGGAUUAUGGGAAGUGGUUCUGUAUUGAACCAGGAAUAACAGACAGUUAAUGAUGUUCUGUUAGAGGGUAAGGGUUACUUUGUUUUAGAUGAUUGGAAGGGUGUUUGGUUGUGUUAUUUUGGGGAUGUAUGCUUCUGUGGGUUGGAAAUCAGUAGGUGGAAUUAUUGUCUUAUAUGGUUGGUUUGGCUACAAAUGUUGGAUGUGUUUGCUGUGUUUUUGAGGGUGGUGUGAUUGUUAUAGGCUCGAGGAUACUUGUGGAAUUUGUUGGGAGAUCAGGCAGAUGCUAAGGGUCAUUCCAAUAUGGAAUUGGAGCAAAUUGGCAUAUGAGAUUGUAGAUUACAUGUUGGAUGGGCUGGGAGUCUAAUGUGCCUGGGCUGCUGAAUAUAUAUGCAAAAUUGCUGGCUGUUGGUUUGUUUUUUUUCCUAUUUUGUUUGCUUGUCUUUGAAUUUGAGGGUGGUUGUUUGGCAAACGGGUCGGGUCAUGGGUCAACACAGGUUUGGGUCGAAACGAGUUCGGGUCAAAACGGGUCAAUUAAAAAAGGGUUGUUUUGGUUCCGGUCGAAACGGGUUCGGACCAGAAUGGGUUUCGGGUCGGGUUGGUUGAAAAAUGUUUUUUUUUUUAAAAGUGAUUGUACAUCAAGGGGCAAUUUUGUCGGGUGAAUAAUGUCAUCGACUUGAAGGAAAACCGGAACGUUAAUUCAAUCGUACGGAUGAUUAAAAUUUAAAUUUUUAGUAAUAUAAUUCUUGAAUUCCUCUUCUAUAUAUUUAACACCAAAAUAAUUAAUUCCCAGUAUUUUUUUUUCAUUUUGGUGUCAAGAACUAAACUCAAAAGGAUUUUAUAAUUUUCUUGAUUAUUCCUUGGAAGUUUUAUUUUACUAACUCAUUUGUGGAGAUGAAUUAAUAUUAGCAGGAUUGGAUGGGUCUACCAGCAGGAGUGAAAUUUGAUCCGACGGACCAAGAACUGAUCGAACAUCUUGAAGCCAAAGUUGAAGCCAAGAAGUUUAAAUCGCACCCGUUGAUUGAUGAAUUCAUCCCUACGAUUGGAGGCGAAAACGGGAUUUGGUUCGCGUCGAAGCGGUUCGGAUCGAAACAGUUUGAUUCGAAACGAUACUGAUCGAAACAGUACAAGUCAAAACAGUAUUGGUCGAAACGGUACGGGUCUAAACGGUUCGCGUCGAAACGGUUCGAUUCGAAACGGUACUGGUUGAAACGGUACGGGUCAAUAUGUGGAAAGCUCCACAGGUCUAUCAUUCUCUUUUUUUUUCUUCGGAUAAUUCUAUUUGCAUUUAUAUAAAAUAACCAAAAUUAUAUUAUAUAUUUAGAGUCCAUAUAUGGAAAGCUCCAAAAUUUUGCUGGUGUAGGAAAUUUUUCUUUCCUAAUGCCAAUAACCUGGGGCCCAAAGAAACCCGUGAAGUUGCAGGGUUGAGGUGAAAUGGUAUAACUAUAAAUAGUGAUAUCAUUCUAUUUUGAGUGAACUUUUAAGUUUUGAUUGAAUUCAUGAAAUUUGAGCUUUCUUAAUGACAUGGUUUUGUACUAUUUUUUUUACAUUUACAGAUGUUAUGGUGUGAAAGUCUUAGCAUGUAUUUCUAUAUAUUUAUAAAUCUAUAAAUACAAAUCAUUUUAAGCAUUCUAAUACUGUUGACCCAUUCUUACACUUCACUUUUUUAUUUCUUUAAAAAUAAGAAUCGUUCCACACCGUUGCUAAAAAAGAAAGAAGGAUGCUUAAAAAAGGAGCUGUGUAUGGGUCAAAACUAUGGAAACGUAGCAGGAGCUAUGUAUGAUAAAGAAGAUCACUAUUUUUUUGUUGGGUGUAUUAAUUACAUAACCACUUUUAAAUAGAAAAUCACAAAAAUCAUACAAACAUAUGUACUUGAUGUUUUAAGUAUAUGUGUUUACACCCAAAUGUAUACCAUUGUAAAUUGUCGACCCACCGCAACGCGCGGGCUCCCCACUAGAAGAAACAGUUGACAGUGACCCACAUGAAAGGUAUACCGUCUACACUUAGUGUUAGUAAUGAAAACCCGUACUACUUUUCGAUGCAUAUAUACGUAAACAUAGUAUACCAUUUUUAAUAGUUUUCUUUUCGUUAUUUCACUGCAGUCAGUUGGCUGGUGAUGGGAUGGGGAUGACGGUGGCAUGCGUUAGCUAAAGUUUGGUCUAUGUGUUAUCCAAUAAGAUAGGAAGGCGUGCGAGAGUUUAUGCGUUUUUCCUUUUUCUGUUUCAUUUUUUUUCUUGGAAGCCAUCUUUUUUCACUUCUUUUUGGCCGGCAAGUUUUGCCAAGGAAACAACUUAC